rnacentral:rRNA from 1 species
AUGGCGCACGCUCUCGCCCGGGCGCUCCGCUCCCUGCGCGCCAGAUGCUCGACCAAAUGUCCCUGCGCCGCCGUGGCUGCCGCUUCCUCGUCCUGCCUCCGCAGCGCCGUUCCGCGCGCUUCCUACGCCGCCUGCCCCAGGAGCAUCCUUCCUACUUCAUGCGGGGGGGCCGUACCUGCGGCGCAGACGCGCUUCGUGGCGAGUACAGCGGGCCCUGGCCCAGGCGACGAGGGCUCGGGGGAGGAGGAGGAGGAGUGUAUGGCGGAGUGGGAAGAGGAUGAAGACGAAGGGGCCGAUGCUGAGAUCGGUGAUGGCGGCAACGGCGGCGGCGUCGCCCUGCGGGACGUCAAGUGGGGCGCGCGCGCUCUUGCGGCGGCCGAGGAGGUUCUUGGCGAGCACUUUGGCGAUGACAUUGCCAUGUUCGCCUUCAAGGUGUCGCCCAAGGGAUACGUCUACGUGCGGCUGGACAAGCUCACCAACAGGUAUGGGUGCCCUGGUAUAGAGGAAAUAGAGAAUUUCAAUAGACUCUAUAAGCAGAAAUUGGAUGAGAUAAUUGAAAGAGGCGAAAUACCCCUCGACCUGGCUCUUGAGAUCUCAUCACCAGGAGCAGAGCGACUUCUGAAGGUGCCGGGUGAUCUGGAUCGCUUCAAAGAUAUGGCAAUGAGGGUACAAUACCAUGCUGAAGGUGAUGGCCUUAUUUCGGAUCAGAUGGAUGGUAUCUUCAUGCUUGAGUCAGUAGACAUUCAGGCAGAACACUGUGUUUGGAAGCUCGCGGACGUCAACGAGAACCGAGCUGGGAAAGGGAGGCCGUUGAACAGGAAACAGAAAGAUUGGAGGCUGCAAACCUCAUUUGAUGCAGUGAUGAAGGCAACCCUAUACUUGGACUGA